rnacentral:rRNA from 1 species
GACGAACGCUGGCGGCGUGCUUAACACAUGCAAGUCGAACGGAAAGGCCCUGCUUUUGUGGGGUGCUCGAGUGGCGAACGGGUGAGUAACACGUGAGUAACCUGCCCUUGACUUUGGGAUAACUUCAGGAAACUGGGGCUAAUACCGGAUAGGAGCUCCUGCUGCAUGGUGGGGGUUGGAAAGUUUCGGCGGUUGUGGAUGGACUCGCGGCUUAUCAGCUUGUUGGUGGGGUAGUGGCUUACCAAGGCUGUGACGGGUAGCCGGCCUGAGAGGGUGACCGGCAACAUUGGGACUGAGAUACGGCCCAGACUCCUACGGGAGGCAGCAGUGGGGAAUAUUGCACAAUGGGAGGAAGCCUGAUGAAGCAACGCCGCGUGCGGGAUGACGGCAUUCGGGUUGUAAACCGCUUUCGCCUGUGACGAAGCGUGAGUGACGGUAAUGGGUAAAGAAGCACCGGCUAACUACGUG